rnacentral:rRNA from 1 species
UACGAAGGGGGCUAGCGUUGCUCGGAAUCACUGGGCGUAAAGGGUGCGUAGGCGGGUCUUUAAGUCAGGGGUGAAAUCCUGGAGCUCAACUCCAGAACUGCCUUUGAUACUGAAGAUCUUGAGUCCGGGAGAGGUGAGUGGAGCUGCGAGUGUAGAGGUGAAAUUCGUAGAUAUUCGCAAGAACACCAGUGGCGAAGGCGGCUAUCUGGACGGUUUCUGACGCUAAGACGCGAAAGCGUGGGGAGCAAACAGG